GACGUGGGGGGCAAGCGUUGUCCGGAAUCAUUGGGCGUAAAGCGCGCGCAGGCGGCCCGGUAAGUCGGUUGUGAAAACCAGUGGCUCAACCACGGGCCUGCAUCCGAUACUGCCGGGCUUGAGGCAGGUAGGGGAGAUCGGAAUUCCUGGUGUAGCGGUGAAAUGCGCAGAUAUCAGGAGGAACACCGGUGGCGAAGGCGGAUCUCUGGGCCUGUCCUGACGCUCAGGCGCGAAAGCUGGGGGAGCAAACAGG
rnacentral:misc_RNA from 1 species